rnacentral:rRNA from 1 species
GAUGAACGCUGGCGGCGUGCCUAAUACAUGCAAGUCGAGCGAACAGACGAGGAGCUUGCUCCUCUGACGUUAGCGGCGGACGGGUGAGUAACACGUGGAUAACCUACCUAUAAGACUGGGAUAACUUCGGGAAACCGGAGCUAAUACCGGAUAAUAUAUUGAACCGCAUGGUUCAAUGGUGAAAGACGGUUUUGCUGUCACUUAUAGAUGGAUCCGCGCCGCAUUAGCUAGUUGGUAAGGUAACGGCUUACCAAGGCAACGACGCGUAGCCGACCUGAGAGGGUGAUCGGCCACACUGGAACUGAGACACGGUCCAGACUCCUACGGGAGGCAGCAGUAGGGAAUCUUCCGCAAUGGGCGAAAGCCUGACGGAGCAACGCCGCGUGAGUGAUGAAGGUCUUCGGAUCGUAAAACUCUGUUAUUAGGGAAGAACAAAUGUGUAAGUAACUAUGCACGUCUUGACGGUACCUAAUCAGAAAGCCACGGCUAACUACGUG